rnacentral:lncRNA from 1 species
GAGGAAGGAAGGAAGGAAGGAAGGAAGGAAGGAAGUCCUUCCCUGGAACUACAGAUCAAUGCAGAUCACAUGACCAAGCCAUAAAGAUGAAUGGAAGGCCAAGCAGGCACAGGGUCCUCAGACUGUUCCCCAGGAGAGCCUUUCUCACCUCUCCCCUUGCAGCUCUCCAGCCCCAUCAGCCUCCUGAGCCAUCUCCUCCUUCCAGCUCUUCCUGUCUAUGACAACCAGAUCUCCCUCUCAGGAAUCUCAGGUGCCAUUCUAAGCCCCUUCAGUGAUGAGAAGAAUAAUUCUCGAAGCCUCACUAGAGAGAUGUGUGAGUGACAAUAUGGAACGAAGGCCUGAUGGUGAAGUUUCAGAAACUAGUUCCUGAGAGUGGUUCAUAUGUUAAGCUGAGGUGAAAUUACCAACCCCCUUUAAAUUAUGUCAUGCUACUUCGAUGAUACAUAAAGUUUCUCCUACUCUGCCCAGCUCCUCUUCCUCACCCUCCCUAAACAUUUAUAACAUCAAAAUGAGAUGCUCUGGAAGCCCUUUCAAAGCUACUUCCAGCUGGGUGCGCUGGGUCACGUUUGUAAUCCUAAUACUUUGGGAGGCCAAGGCGUGCGGAUCACUUGAGGUAAGGAGUUCAGGACCAGUCUGGCCAACAUGGCAAAACCCUGUCUCUACUGAAAAUACAAAAAUUAGCCAAGUGUGGUGGCGCUUGCCUGUAGUCCCAGCUACUUGAGAGGCUGAGGCAUGAGAAUCCCUUGAACCAGGGAAGUGGAGACUGCAGUGAGCUGAGAUUGCACCACUGCACUCCAGCCUGGGUGACAGAGCAAGACUCCAUCACAAAAAAAAAAAAAAAAAAAAAGCUACUUCCAAAACCUGAGGGUUUUUAUUCUUUUGUGAAUAACACGAGAACUGGACAUGUCUCUGCAUUCCCGGCAAUUUCUUGAAUUAGCUCAUAUUGAGUGACUAGCUUUUAUGAAAGUUAAUUCCUUGAGCUUAACCUCCGAGAAUCUGCCAAAAAUCUCCCAGACAAGGUGAAGACAAGACUCAUCCUCUCGCCCCAUCCCUAUGUUGCUCUUUGAUAUUUGAUUGUUACACCAGCUAAUUCUAAUAGGAUAGACUUGAAAUCCUUUCCCCCCAGUAAACCUCUAUGCUGCAAGGAAGAGACUCCAAGAUCUAUGUACUCCACGUCUCUCAUUCAAACAUCCUUGGUUUAUAAAUCUCCUAGACCUCUCUACUCCAUUAUAUGCCUCUGCCCAGGUACCUAAUGGAAGCCACUGAAAACCUGAAAAACUCUGGCUUCAGAUCCAUGUAACAGUUCCCUUGAAAAGGCUCCUUUUGCUAAAGAACUGGAAGUAUCCCCUUCUCCAUACCCAGCACAUUGGUUUAUCAUUAUUAUUUGCCACCAGAAAUCUCACAGGCUGUUUGUUCUCUGCCCAAAUUCAUAUUCCAGUUAUUUGUUCUCAGGGCCAGCCCACCCUGCACCUGAGAAAAGGGGCUGAAACCUGCAGGGGCUCAAUCUCUCUCCAGGCAAUUUCCAGUCUCUCCAGACCUGGGUUCCCAUUACAAUGCUUCCCCCUGACAUUCUCUUUACCUCAAACAGCACAACUUGUUUUUCUUUCUCCGGUGUCUGCUCCCUCCUGAUGCAGGAUCCACUUAAGUCUUUCUGAAACUGACACCAGGAUCAAGGGAGGAAAAACCAGGCAGCACAAAGCCUUUGGCAGGCUCCUGCAGCAAGUUCUGUGCUGCCUGCUCCUCCUGAAAAUCCUCUCUCAGCUCUUUCCAGAUGUGCCCCAGACUCUCACGAGCACAUUUCUCUCAAACAGCCCAUCAAUCACUCCAUGAGUGUUUACUUAGUGCCCGCUUCAUGCGAGACAUUGUCCUCUACGCCCGGGAGCAUGCCUCCAUGUGGGAGAAUUGAUUCCUGCCUUCCAGACCUCAUGGCCUCUGCAAGGAAACACGACAUCAGCCAAAGAAAAUACAAAGCCUGGAGAACUCUUUCCAAAUCAGAGGCACAGACUCUGCUAGCUGAAGAAGCUGAAGAUUAGAAUUAAACCUUGAGGAGUAGGUAGGAGAAAGGGAGGGGGAACGAUGCUCUUGAUAGAAGAGCAAGUGAGCAAAGACACAAACAUAUUUGGGGGCAGUAAGUUUAUGACCUGGGCAGGCCGAGGAGACUUUUUUUUUUUUUGAGACAGGAUCUUGCUCCAUUGUCCAGGCUGGAGUGCAGUGGCACCGUCUCGGCUCACUGCACCCCCCUCCUCCCCGGGUUCAAGUGAUUCUUAUGCCUCAGCCUCCCGAGUAGCUGGAACUAUAGGCACGUGCACCACACCCAGCUAAUUUUUGAAUUUUUAGUAGAGAUAGGGUUUCACCAUGCUGCCUAGGCUAGUCUCAAACUCCUAACCUCAAGUGAUCCAACUGCCUCAGCCUCUCAAAGUACUAGGAUCACAGGCGUGAGCCACCACGCCCAGCUCUGAGGAAAUUUUUGAAUGCUGCGCUGGAAAGGUGUCUCAUAGACACUGCCAUCCCUUGUUGAAGCUAACCUCUCUUCAAAAAAAUGGAAAUAAAAUAAGGGGUAGAGGGGGCAGGGCUUCCCACCAACAGGCAUGGCCCUGGUGGUGCUUCUGCCUGGGAAGGUCCAGCUAGACCAGGUGACCCUUCACUAGCAGUUCUAGCCCAAAGCUAUGGUCCCAGUCCUGGGAAGGAGAGCCCUGUGACUUCCCCCAGUCUGCACUUACUCCACAAAUUCCUCUGGAAAGAGCACCAGCCUGGGAAUCAGGGGACCUGGUUCCUGACCCAGCAUUUUCACUAACUAGAUGGCAAGCCACACAGCCUCAUGAGCCUCCAUGUCUGCACAUGUACAAUGACAAUGAAGAGUUUGGAGAAGAUGUACUAAGUCCUUUCUAGCUCUUAGGUGUUAUUUUGCAAUCAUUUCUGUAGCCCACCUUCCAUCAUCCAUUAUUCAAUGGGUCUCAUGGGAGAUCUUAUUUUUCAGUUCCUGGGGUAUUGUGAUAUGGCGAAAUAUAUAUAUUUGGUCUUUAUCCAGUUUCCUGGCAUACAACUCCAAGUCUCCAUAGUGAUGUCUUUUUGUAUGCCAAGGAGUUGACUGGUGGCUGACAGCCCCUAAGUAGCUUCAGAAUGGGGGGUGGUCAUCAAGACCCAGGCUGGAUGAGAGGAUUGGGACUUUCAGCCCCAUUCCCCAGCCUCCAGAGAAAGGAGAGGAGCUGAAGGUUAAGUUGAUCACCAAUGACCAAUGAUUUAAUCAGUCAUGCCUACAUAAUAAAGCCUCUAUAAACACCCAAAAGGACUUCCAUACCAACCCCAACAGGGUUUGAAGAGCUUCCAGAUAGCUGAACACGUGAAGAUUCCUGGAGGGUGGCACCCAAGGAGGGCAUCGAAGCUCCACACCCCUGCCCACCUGCCAUUCGCUAGCAUCUCUUCAUCUGUACCCUUUGUAAUAGACUUUACAAUAAACUCAGUAUUUCCCUGAGCUCUGUGAGCCACUCUAGCAAACUAACUGCACACAAGGAGUGGGCUGUGGGAACCCUGAUCUAUAGCCAGUGGGUCAGAAGCACAGGUAAAACAACCUGGAACUUGUGAUUGGCAUCGGAAGUGGGGGACAUUCUCAUAGGACUGAGCCGUCACCUGUGGGCUCUGAUGCUAGCUCCAGGUAGAUAGUGUUGGAAUUGAACUAAAGUGGAGGACACCCAGCUGGUGUUCGCUGCUGGAAGAUUGCUUGCUGGCUGGUGGGAAGAAACUCCACCCCGCAAACACAUGUCUGGUGUCAGAAGUACUGUGUGACUGCGCUGGGAGGGUGCAGUAGGAAGAAACUGGGCUCGUUACUCCUGUAUGCUCUGAAGGUAUGAUCCUUUUUGCCAGCUUUCUUCCUCUGCCUGCUAUUUCCUGGCUGUCAUCUUUUUCAAAAUUUGCUUUUAAAUAUGAAAAGACUCAUAUUUAUUAUAGAAAAUUUGGAAAAUACAGGAAACACAGAGACAAUAUGGAAAUCAUCUAUAAUUCAAUCAUUCAAAGACAACCACCAUUAACUAUUUGACCUAUAUCUUUCUCAUAGACAGUUGUCCCUCAGUAGCCUGAGGGGAACUGGUUCCAGGACCCCUGUGCAUACCAAAAUCUGUGGAUGCUCAAGUCCCUUAUAUAAAAUGGUGUAGUAUUUGCAUAUAACCUACAUGUGCCCUCCUGUAUACUUUAAAUCAUCUCUAGAUUACAAUAUAAUGUAAAUGCUAUGUAAAUAGUUAUACUGUCUUUUUUAUUUCUAUUAUUUUGUAUUGUAUUGUGUUUUUUUCUGAAUAGUCAUUUACUGCAUAAUGACAUUUUGGUCAAUGACAAACUGCAUAUGUAACGAUGGUUCCAUAAGAUUAUAAUGCAGCUGAAAAUUUCUGGUCACCUAGUAACAUCAUAGCUCUCAUAACAUUGUAGGGCAGUACAUUACUCAUGUGUUUGUGGUGGUCCUUUCAGAGGUAUUCCAGAAGGAGGCAUUGUUAUCAUAGGAGAUGACAGCUCAAUGCAUGUUAUUGCUUCUAAAGACCUUCCAAUGGGACAAGACGUGGAGGUGGAAGACGGUGAUGUUGAUUAUCCUGAGCUUGUAUAAGCCUAAGCUAAUGUGUGAUUUGUAUCUUUGUUUUUAAUAAUAAGGUUUAAGAAGUCAAAAUUAAAAUUAAAGAAUUAAAGAAUAGAAAAAGCUUAUAUUAAUAGAAUAAGAAACAAAGAAAGUAUUUUGUAGAGCUGUAAAAUAUAUUUGUGUUUUAAGCUAAGUGUUAUUACAAAAAAGUCAAAAAGUUUUUUAAAAUUUUAAAGUUUAUAAACUAAAGUUACAGUAGGCUAAGGGUAAUUUAUUAUUGAAGGAAGAAUAACUUUUAGAAAUAAACAGUGCAGCCUAAGUCUACAGUGUUUACAAAGCCUACUGUAGCAUACAGCAAUGUCCUAGGCCUUCACGUUCACUCACCACUCACUCACUGACUCACCCAGAGCAAUUUCAGUCCUGCAAGCUCCAUUCAUGAAAAGUACCCUAUACACGUAUACCACUUUGUAUCUUUUAUAUUGUAUUUUUAUUUCACCUUUUCUGUGUUUAGAUACACAAAUACUUACCAUGGUGUUACAACUGCCUACAAUGUUCAAUACAGUCACAUACUUUACAGUUUUGUAGCCUAGGAGCAAUAGGCUAUCCCACAUAGCCUAGGUGUGGAGUAGGCUCUACCAUCUAGGUUUGUGUAAGCACAUUCUGAUGUUUGCACAAUGAUGAAAUUGUCUAACAAUGCAUUUCUCAGAAUGUAUCCCUAUUGUUAAGUAAUGCAUGACUGUAUAUUCCAUCCUCAGUUGGUUGCAUCCAUGGAUGCAGAACCCAUGGAUACAGAGGGCCAACUGUACAUACAUACUGUCUUAGUCCAUUUUCUGUUGCUAUAACUGAAUACCUGAUACCAGGUAAUUUAUCAAGAAAAGACAUUUAUUUCUUAAGUUCUGGAGGCUGGGGAGUCUAACGUGAAGGUGCCAGCAUCUGGUGAGAGCCUACUUCCUGCAUUAUAAUGACAGAAGUCAUUAUGUGGCAAGAAGGCAAGAGCAUGCCAGUUCAGAUCUCCCUUCUCUUAUAAAGCCACCAGUCCCAUCAUGGGCCCACCCUGAUGACUUUAUCUCAUCCUAGUUACCUCCCAAAGGCCCCACCUCUAAAUACCAUCAACAUAUGAAUUUGGCGAUUAAAGUUUCCAAAACAUUGAAACCAUAGCACAUGCUUUUAGUUUUAGCCAAGUUAGUACCAUACAGCACAUAAAUUAUAUAUUGUUGACAAUUCCACUUCCUGUAUGGACAGACUAGGUUGGUUUUGGACCAACCCUCCCCGAGAACUAGAAAAGCUGGAUAACAUAUAACAAAAUAUGUUUGAAGGCUUCUGAAAAAUGGUCAAAGCAAUGAAACUUUGUGGUGUUACAAUCUGAAAGAGGAAGGAAAUCAAGAGAAAUGAACCUGGAAUUUGGGGCCUCUCUGCCCCUCAAAGCAACAGGUAGAUUCCAUAAGCAAGAAGAGUGACAGGGGACUGAUAAAUCAAUGAGCUUUCAGCCGUCUGGUGAGGCAAUGUAACCAAAAUGGAGGUCAGGAUUCACUCGGGAGGAGGGAUCCUGGUAACACCCCAGGAAUUCUGCUGGGACCCCAAAGGCCUGUGCUCUAGUUAUAAGAGUAAAUCCACCCUCACAAAGAAUGAAGCCAAGCUUCAAAUCAUGUCAAUUCAAUCUAACCUUUGACUAGCUAACAGCCAGAAGCAAACCUUCCUCUGAUGGAAGAUAACAUCACAUAAAACCUCAAAUUAUCCCUACAUUUUUCAAACACUGUUUCACCCUUAAAAAGGUAGAUAAUAGAGAAGGCUAGAGAGCUGUCUUUACUGGGGAAAUAGCUGUGGCAGAUCAUUGCACCAUAGAAUGUGAUUAGAAAAGCAGAUCAAUAUGCAAGAGCCAUAGUUAAAGGCAUCACAGAGCCUAGGAGCCAAUGAAGACUAUACAGGAUCAGAUUCUGGGGAGGGGAAUCUGCAGAGAGGAAGCUGGCGAUCUCUGUCAAUUCUGUGAAUAGGUAAAAAGCUGAGAAACUUUGCCCAGGCAGUGAGUCACUCCCAGGUGAUUGAGAAACCAUCAGAGCUUCAGAAGUCUUACGAGGUGUAAUUGAUUAAAAUUGGAGACUUGAGGACUCUCAAAAAUGUGGUUUGUUUUGCCUCAAUAAGUUGGCUAAAUUCUGUAACUGUACAAGGAAUAUGGCUAAAAUUUCAAGCAGAGAAUUUUGGGCAGUUUUAUGGUGUUGAGGAGAGAAAGAUUAGAAUUUAGGGCCUGCCCGGGGAACAUGUCUCAGUGAACAUUUCAGAGAAUCAAUUAGAAACCCUGGAGGUCUAUGCCCCAGGAUCAGGAGCUAACCAGAGGCAACAAGCUGCACUGGAACCAGAACGACUUCAUCCACCCUCCCAGUUGCUGCUACACCCUGCCUCUCAGGCCCUGAGCUGAAGCAGCACCCAUCUCCCAGGGCAUCAAUGCCUUGGCUACCCAGAGCAGUCACACUCCCUGGUGCUGGAGCUGAAGUGGCACUGUGUCUUCCAGGGAAUUCUUGCCUUGGCUACUCAGGGUAGUCACACCCCCAGCACCUGAGCUGAAGUAAUGCCCUACCUCCCAGGGAAUCAGUGCCUUGGAUGAGCCUGGCAGCUGUACAUCCCAGGGCUGAAUUGACAUGGCACCUUGCAUCCCAAGAAAACAGCAUUGAGUGAGCUGAGACCACCUACCAGGCCAAACAACUGUAGAACCUUGUCUUCUUGGAACUGGACUACCUCUCGCCCUUGACACCACAAGAUUCUGAGCUGCUGAGGCACCCUGCCUCCUUGGAAAGUGGAGCCAUUGCUGUGCUGCUCCAUGUCCCCUGGGGCCCAAGCCACAGCUGAACUCUGCCAUUCCUGGUCCUUGCUGUCUCAUGGAGCCAGGGACACGGCUAUGUUGUCUCAUCAUCCCUGGGUCCAGAGUCACCACUACACAGUGCCUUAUCGUCCAGGACCUGAGUUACUGCUGUGCCCUAUUGGCUCCAUUUCCCAAAUUAUAGCUGUUCUCUGCUCAUGGACCUGAAUCUCCAGAGCACCCCUUCUCCCCUGGAGCUGAGCCAGUGCUGUGCCCUGCCCUUCAGGGUCGGAGUCAGAGCUACCAUCCAGCCUAAUGAGCCCGAGCUGCUGGAGUGUACCUCAAAGCCACAGACACCAGCUUUAUUGACCAUCUGCAUCUACCUAUGCCUCAGAGAGUGAACCUUCACUCCAAGUGCCAGCUGCCACAGUAGGUUUGUGAGACCGUGAGCCCAAACUCAGGUUUUAAAGCCACUCUGAGCACCUGUACCCUGGAACCUAGCACCACUGCAGCCACUUGUGGGCCAUGCCAGACCCAACAUGAGGAGAGAUGCCCUCACCUAAGACUCUUCUUAUGGAGGAAAUGAGAAUGGGAGGACCCUAAAAGCUCUUGCUACUGAGAACUCUAACAGCACACACUUCUGCCACUGCUGUCACAAACUCUGGCAGCCUAGGCCGGUGAGGUGCCCACAGUCAUUCUUGACCUUGACUGCAGCUGAAGAAGCUGCACAGAGACUAUACCACUGCCUCCACUUGGAAUCAGGGCCACCACACCCUGCCCAAACAGCACCUUAAGACCCACCUGCAGGUGAAAGUCUUUACCUACAAAAGACACUCUGUAAAUUUUGGAAGAGGUGACUGUUCCACCAGAUGCACAGACAUCAAUACAAGGAUAAAAGAAACAUGAAAAAGCAAGAAAACAUGACACCACCAAAGGAACACAAUAAUUCUCUAGUGACUGACCUCAAAGAAAAGAAAAUUUAUCAAUUGCCUGAAAAGGAGUUCAAAAUAAUAUUUUUAAGAAAAUUCAGCAAGAUAUGAGAUUCAGGAUACAGAUGGACAACUCAAAAAACUCAAGGAAACAAUUCAUGAUCUGACUGAGAAAUUCAACCAAGAGAUAGAUAUUAUAAAAGAGAACCAAACAGAAAUCUUGUAGCUGAAGAAUGCAAUAAAUGAAACAAAAAAUACAGUAGAGAGAUUCAACAGCAGACUAAAUCAUGCAGAAGAAUCUGUGAACUUGAUAAUAGGUUUUUUGAAAUUACUCGGGGUAGGGGAAAAGGAAAGAAAAUAAAAAAGUAAGAUGGCCUGCCUGACUUAUUGGAUGCCAUUAAGCAAAAUAACUCUUGCAUUACUUAUGUUCCAGAAGAAGAGACAGAGAAAGGGAUAAAAACUUCUUUAAUUAAAUAAUUGCUGAAAACUUCCCAAGUCUUGGGAGAGAUAUAGACAUCCAGAUCCAUGAAGCUCAAAGAGGUUCAACCAAAAGAGGUCCUCCUCAAGACAUAUUAUAACUAAACUGUCAAAAGUAACAAAAUGAGCAUUUUGAAAGCAGCAAGAGAAAAGCAUCAAGUCACAUAUAAGAGAAUCACUAUUAGGCUAUCAAUAGAUUUCUCAAGAGAAACCUUGCAAGCCAGGAGAGAAUGGCAUGAGAAUGGGAUGAUAUAUUCAAAGUGCUGAAAGAAAAAAAAAAAACUGUCAGCCAAGAAUACUAUAUCAAGUAAAUCUGCCCUUCAUAAAUCAAAGAGUGGAAAAGAUAUAGAAAGAAAAUCAGAGUGGAAAAGAUAUCCAAAGUCUAACCAAAUGAAAACUGGAAUGGCCAUCCUAGUAGCAGAAAAAUAGACCUUAAAGCAAAAAGUUACUAAAGUUAAAGAGGAGUAUUUCAUACUCAUAAAUGUUAAUUCACCAGAAAGCUAUCACAAUUCUAAAUCUAUCUGUGUGCGACAACAUAGUUUUAAAAUAUUUCUUUAAAAAAGCAAAAAUUGACAGAAUUAAAGGGAAAGAUGACAAAUUCACACUCGUAGCAGAAGAGUUUAAUAAAUCUCUCUCCAUAGCUGAUAAUGGACCCAAUAAAAUCAGCAAGGAAUGAGAAGAAUGAAACACAUAAUUGGCAAAUGUAUAGCACCACAUGAUUUCUUUCACGUAAUGUUCAAAAACUGGCAAAAUUAUGUCAUUAAAAUCAUGCCAGUGGCUACUUUUCAGGGGGAAAAAAGCAUAGUUGUUGGAAAUGAACAUAAAGGAGAGUUUUUGGGGUACAGGCAACAUUCUAUAAUGUUCUAUUCCUUCAGCCGGGUUGUACUUAGAUGAGUAUGUUCAUUUAGAGAUAAUCAUUGAACUGGUAUAAUCCAAUUUCAAAUGUGUAUUAAAUAUAUUUGUGUAGUUCAAACACUACACAUAGCAAUAAAAAACAAUUUUAUCCACAUAUCAAACUAAGUAAAUCUUGGAAAUUGUGUUGAAUGAAAACACAUAGAUAGAGAUUAAAAAUUUUGUAAAUUAUUUUAAAAUGCUAUAUAUUUUUAUAUAGAUAAAUAUAUGUAGUAAAGGUAUAACUUCUGAAUAAGAAGAGUAUGUACCAAUUUCAGAUAACUCCAUAGUUAUCUAUGGAGCAGUAGGGAAGGGAAGACUAUAAAAGAGGACUCAAUGAUAUAUGCAACCUUUUAUUUCUUAAAACAUUCUUAAGUAAAUAUGGCAAACUGUCAACAUUUGUUAAAUUUGGCUGGAGGGUAUAUGGAUGUUUGUUAUAUUUGCUGUAAUUUUCUAUAUAAAAGAUUUCAUAAUUAUUUGUUUUUAAUACUGCAAAUAUGUUCUCAUGUUAUCAGAUAUUCUGAAAUAGCAAAUUUUAAAGACUUAUUUUUACUAUUAUAAAUAUUACUAUAAUAAACAUCCUUGCCUUAAAUACU